GUGGGGAAUAUUGGACAAUGGGCGCAAGCCUGAUCCAGCCAUGCCGCGUGAGUGAUGAAGGCCUUAGGGUUGUAAAGCUCUUUCGUCAGGGAAGAUAAUGACGGUACCUGAAGAAGAAGCCCCGGCUAACUUCGUGCCAGCAGCCGCGGUAAUACGAAGGGGGCUAGCGUUGCUCGGAAUCACUGGGCGUAAAGCGCACGUAGGCGGCUUUCUAAGUCAGGGGUGAAAUCCUGGAGCUCAACUCCAGAACUGCCUUUGAUACUGGAGAGCUUGAGUUCGGGAGAGGUGAGUGGAACUGCGAGUGUAGAGGUGAAAUUCGUAGAUAUUCGCAAGAACACCAGUGGCGAAGGCGGCUCACUGGCCCGAUACUGACGCUGAGGUGCGAAAGCGUGGGGAGCAAACAGGAUUAGAUACCCGGGUAGUCC
rnacentral:rRNA from 1 species